CCUACGGGGGGCAGCAGUGGGGGAUAUUGCACAAUGGGGGGAACCCUGAUGCAGCGACGCCGCGUGGGUGAAGAAGCGCCUCGGCGCGUAAAGCCCUGUCAGCAGGGAAGAAAAUGACGGUACCUGAAGAAGAAGCCCCGGCUAACUCCGUGCCAGCAGCCGCGGUAAUACGUAGGGGGCAAGCGUUAUCCGGAUUUACUGGGUGUAAAGGGGGCGCAGACGGCGAUGCAAGCCAGGAGUGAAAGCCCGGGGCUCAACCCCGGGACUGCUCUUGGAACUGCGUGGCUGGAGUGCAGGAGGGGCAGGCGGAAUGCCUGGUGUAGCGGUGAAAUGCGUAGAGAUCAGGAGGAACACCGGUGGCGAAGGCGGCUUGCUGGACUGCAACUGACGUUGAGGCACGAAAGCGUGGGGAGCAAACAGGAUUAGAUACCCCUGUAGUC
rnacentral:rRNA from 1 species